GCCCGCUUAGCUCAGUGGUAGAGCGUGCCAGCAGUGCCGUCCCUAGGAAUAUCUUCCCGUAUCCCUAGAAUAGCACUCCUCUGCUGGCAAGGUCGCCAGUUCGACUCUGGUAGUGGGUA